rnacentral:lncRNA from 1 species
GGGGACGGUUGGGUGGUCGGUCAGGGUUUCACUGCAGCAGGUCUCCCUGAGUGGUGCUGGCCAACCUCCACCCUCCCCUGCUGCAUCAAGUGAACGUAUCUCUGAUGUGAUAAUAUCAAACAAAGGGAAAAUAAGAUCAGAGGGACAAAUCUAGUCUGCACACAACUGUCCUGGAACCUGGCUACUUUGUGACUCAGAGAGGCUCUGGUGUUAUUCUGUCACUGGGAGUGUGUUGCUGGCUCAGUGAACUGAAGUCACUGUGGAGUGGGGCCAGAGCUGCUCCGUGGGGGGCUCCGAGCUGGAGCCAAAGGAGCGUGGGCAUCCCAGAGGACAGCCUGCAACGGCUGGUGGUGGUGCUGACUGACGACAGGCGAUCUGGCCAUCAUUCCAUCGGAGCAGCCAGCCUGAGCGAGGGAGCUGGAGGAACAGACCUCACUGGUACAGACAUCAGCGAUCAACCAGAGCUAACCUCAGGCUGUUGAAAGGCGCAGCACAGACACACACAGAUUUGCAGGAUUUUAUGGCCAGGCUGGUUUAGUCUGAAGCCCAUCUCGUCCAGUGCCGUCAUCUUACG